rnacentral:lncRNA from 1 species
CAGCAACAGAGCUUCGGUUGUGUCUCCUAAGAAUUGCUCAUUGUUUCAUGGGGACGACUGGCUCCUUUGGGUGGGAUCUGAUGGCAUCUCAUGGAGUUGGAGGCCAAGGAACAGAAAGCAUGAGUUCUGCUUGUGGUUAUAGGUCAUGUGAUACUUUGGUUGCUUUGCAACCUUCAAGGAACUUUGACACAAAAAUGAUCUUACUGGAUUCUCAGAUGACUCCAUGAUACAGGUAGGGUUGGUGGAUACCAUUUCCCAUAUGAGGAAAGGAGGGUCAAUAUGUUAUAUAAUAU